GCAGAACUAAAUUAGACUAGUGUACAAUAAUUCUUAACAACACAUUUAAGACCUGUGAGACUGUUUAUAAGAGAAUCCCAACUUUAGAUAAUAAGAAUGACCAGCUUUGAAGGGGGAAUGACUUGUUCCAGGUCCCAGGCAACUACGGGGAGAGUAAUUAUGGAAUCAAAUGAAUAGGCAUAAAACUACAGGGAUUGUUAACCAUAUUGCCAUUUACAGUUUCAGUAAACAAGGCACAAAACUGAGGCAGAUGUCGAAUAUAGUGAUGGCAAUAAUAGAACUAGUGAAGUGGUCUCAGGAAUCAGCAAGCACUCAAAUACCAAUUUGUUACUUCUAGUGUUUGACAAAUAUGAUAUCUAAAUGAUAUAUUCGAUCCUCUGACCAAUGGUUGACAAUCUUUAAGUGAUAAGACAAUCAACAAUCCACCUUCCUGUUAUACAGAAGCAAAGAACUAUUUUUCUGGACCUCCAUCAGAAGACAUGCCAAUGAACUAAUAAUUCAUAAUGAAGGCUGGUAAAAAAACAUUGCAUUAGCAGUCUUAUAGGAAAGGCUGUCCAUGCAAGCAGUGUAUUCAAAAGUGCCCACGGCACCCACCUUAAGGUCUGCCUAUAUGUGACAUGCGCAUAGGGGGACCUCAAAUUUUGCACAUUUAAAAGCUGUGCCAUGCAGCUUCUCAGCCUUGCUCUUUUAGAUCAUUUUUUACCGAUCCCACUUUGCUUUAGUCUUUUGGCCAUAACAUUUAUGGGUUCUUUGGGCUGUUUUGAAAGACACCAACCCUCAAAACUAGAAAUUAUAAAAAAUAAUAAUAAUAAAUAAAUAAAAUAAAAGGAACUGGAAGUUAGGUGAGAGAAUUAAGAAAAAAGGACAUUGUGCCUAGCUCUCUAUAUCUGCAACUGAAGUGUGAUCACCGUCAGCUUUUC
rnacentral:lncRNA from 1 species